rnacentral:rRNA from 1 species
ACACUCCUGCGGGAGGCAGCAGUAGGGAAUAUUGGACAAUGGGCGCAAGCCUGAUCCAGCCAUGCCGCGUGAGUGAUGAAGGCCCUAGGGUUGUAAAGCUCUUUCACCGGUGAAGAUAAUGACGGUAACCGGAGAAGAAGCCCCGGCUAACUUCGUGCCAGCAGCCGCGGUAAUACGAAGGGGGCUAGCGUUGUUCGGAUUUACUGGGCGUAAAGCGCACGUAGGCGGACUAUUAAGUCAGGGGUGAAAUCCCGGGGCUCAACCCCGGAACUGCCUUUGAUACUGGUAGUCUUGAGUUCGAGAGAGGUGAGUGGAAUUCCGAGUGUAGAGGUGAAAUUCGUAGAUAUUCGGAGGAACACCAGUGGCGAAGGCGGCUCACUGGCUCGAUACUGACGCUGAGGUGCGAAAGCGUGGGGAGCAAACAGGAUUAGAAACCCGUGUAGUCC